rnacentral:rRNA from 1 species
AUUGAACGCUGGCGGCAGGCUUAACACAUGCAAGUCGAGCGGGGUGAUGGUGCUUGCACUAUCACUUAGCGGCGGACGGGUGAGUAAUGCUUAGGAAUCUGCCUAUUAGUGGGGGACAACAUCUCGAAAGGGAUGCUAAUACCGCAUACGUCCCACGGGAGAAAGCAGGGGAUCACUUGUGACCUUGCGCUUAUAGAUGAGCCUAAGUCGGAUUAGCUAGUUGGUGGGGUAAAGGCCUACCAAGGCGACGAUCUGUAGCGGGUCUGAGAGGAUGAGCCGCCACACUGGGACUGAGACACGGCCCAGACUCCUACGGGAGGCAGCAGUGGGGAAUAUUGGACAAUGGGGGGAACCCUGAUCCAGCCAUGCCGCGUGUGUGAAGAAGGCCUUAUGGUUGUAAAGCACUUUAAGCGAGGAGGAGGCUCUUUUGGUUAAUACCCAAGAUGAGUGGACGUUACUCGCAGAAUAAGCACCGGCUAACUCUGUGCCAGCCGCCGCGGUAA